rnacentral:rRNA from 1 species
UACGUAGGUGGCAAGCGUUGUCCGGAUUUACUGGGCGUAAAGAGCGCGCAGGCGGUUGGAUAAGUCGAAUGUGAAAGCCCCCGGGCUCAACUGGGGAGGGUCAUUCGAUACUGUCCGACUCGAAGGCAGGAGAGGGAAGCGGAAUUCCCGGUGUAGUGGUGAAAUGCGUAGAUAUCGGGAGGAACACCAGUGGCGAAGGGCGGCUUUCUGGCCCUUGUUCUUGACGCUGAGGCGCGAAAGCCAGGGGAGCAAAACGGG